UACGUAGGGGGCAAGCGUUGUCCGGAAUCAUUGGGCGUAAAGAGCGUGUAGGCGGCCCGAUAAGUCCGCUGUGAAAGUCCAGGGCUCAACCCUGGGAUGCCGGUGGAUACUGUCGGGCUCGAGUCCGGAAGAGGAGUGUGGAAUUCCUGGUGUAGCGGUGAAAUGCGCAGAUAUCAGGAGGAACACCAAUGGCGAAGGCAGCACUCUGGGACGUGACUGACGCUGAGGCGCGAAAGCUAGGGGAGCGAACGGG
rnacentral:rRNA from 1 species